rnacentral:rRNA from 1 species
UACGUAGGGUGCAAGCGUUAAUCGGAAUUACUGGGCGUAAAGCGUGCGCAGGCGGUUUUGUAAGUCUGUCGUGAAAGCCCCGGGCUCAACCUGGGAAUUGCGAUGGAGACUGCAAGGCUUGAAUCUGGCAGAGGGGGGUAGAAUUCCACGUGUAGCAGUGAAAUGCGUAGAGAUGCGGAGGAACACCGAUGGCGAAGGCAGCCCCCUGGGCCAAUACUGACGCUCAGGCACGAAAGCGUGGGGAGCAAACAGG